rnacentral:rRNA from 1 species
GCCCGUUCCACGGGUUCCGUGUCGGAGCUAACGCGUUAAGCAUCCCGCCUGGGGAGUACGGCCGCAAGGCUAAAACUCAAAGAAAUUGACGGGGGCCCGCACAAGCGGCGGAGCAUGCGGAUUAAUUCGAUGCAACGCGAAGAACCUUACCUGGGCUUGACAUGUUCCCGACGGCCGUAGAGAUACGGCUUCCCUUCGGGGCGGGUUCACAGGUGGUGCAUGGUCGUCGUCAGCUCGUGUCGUGAGAUGUUGGGUUAAGUCCCGCAACGAGCGCAACCCUCGCCCCGUGUUGCCAGCGGAUUAUGCCGGGAACUCACGGGGGACCGCCGGGGUUAACUCGGAGGAAGGUGGGGAUGACGUCAGAUCAUCAUGCCCCUUACGUCCAGGGCUUCACGCAUGCUACAAUGGCCGGUACAACGGGAUGCGACGCGGCGACGCGGAGCGGAUCCCUGAAAACCGGUCUCAGUUCGGAUCGCAGUCUGCAACUCGACUGCGUGAAGGCGGAGUCGCUAGUAAUCGCGAAUCAGCAACGUCGCGGUGAAUGCGUUCCCGGGCCUUGUACACACCGCCCGUCAAGUCAUGAAAGUGGGCAGCACCCGAAGCCGGUGGCCUAACCCCUUGUGGGAUGGAGCCGUCUAAGGUGAGGCUCGUGAUUGGGACUAAGUCGUAACAAGGUAGCCGUACCGGAAGGUGCGGCUG